UCCUAGAAGAUUUAGAUGAUUUGACUUGGAAUACACCCCUCGUACUACCACUAAUUAUUUCUAGCAGUAACACUCCAAAACUAAAUACAGAGUCUCUGUCGAGUUUCCAUUGCAUACUCGGGAGACAUAUAACCACUACAGAAGAGCCACAUCUAUAUGAUUAAUAUUGGGGGACUCAUUUAUUCAUUCAAUAUUGCUUCCCCUGUUACCAUACUUACUAUGUGCCAACCACUUUUCGUGUGUUGAUCUCUGUCUCUUCACUGCCAAACAUUCUUGCCAAGCCAAAGUCAGAAUUUUUUGGAGUCAUCUCCUUUUGUCUAGAACAACAUUAUUAGCCUUCAUAUCUCUAUGGAUGAUUCUGUAUCCUCGUGGUCUGGUGGAGAGAUACAGUAAUCCUUGAACAAUGCCUUCUAUGAUAUGACAUCGCAGUUGUCAAUCAAGUAGGAUACUGUUGGAUUUUUCUUGUGGAAUAUAUGCCUAUCAACCGAAUAGAAUGUAGUCCAGGCUCUUUUCCAUGUAUUCAUAUACAAGUAUCCUUUCGUGUCCACUAGUGUAGCAAAGAAACCGAACAAGGCUUCGAUGCUGGAGUUUAGCUAGCAGCAUAACCUCAUUCUUGAACUUGUCAGGACCCUGUGCAGAUGUCUUUGGAAGUGUUUUAGCAGCUAUUUCUUGUCCAUCGUUGAGGCUACCCUUUAGUUUUGAAUGAAAUAAUAUCAAAUUUAUUAGUUUUGAAUAUUCAAAUUGCUAUCAUUGUCAGUUCAUUGGGAAUACUUCUGUUUUCCUGUCGUAACCUUAAAACAAGAAUCCUGUCAGUGUUCUUGCUGGCUGCUGCUUAAGAUUUCAUCCAUAUGCAUUGGAUAUAUCUGCAUUCAUAUGGAUUGAAAAUCAUCCAUAUAGAGUGCUACCUUUUAUACUGGUGGUCCAAAGCCACCCUCCCUAAGCUUAUUAUCAAUCGAGAAACCAUCAGUAGCUGCAAUUGUCCCCACAUCAAAUAUUGGCAGUUCCAGAUCUUCACCAUGACUACUUCAUUCAUACAUGAACCACCACUCUAUUUACUCAAUCCUACAAUCAUUCAUGUCAACAUGAAACCCAGAAACGUACUACAUUGCCUUUUUGUUCAGGUACUUCUACAGUUCGACUUGAUGAAAUGCCAUGUAUUAGUUUUGUUGUACAUUGAAGUCACUGACAGUCUUCGAGAUGCUACCUGUUUUCUUGCUCCCUUCUUUCUUGCACAGAAGAGAAAACCAAUAGGUGCUAAAAGAAAUGCCAGUGCUGAGAUGCUGGCAGCAACUGCGAUGAUUAUUAUCAUACGACGCAUCUGUGGUCGACCUUGAUCCGGCUCUGACGAGGCUCCUUCCAUGGGCUCCUUGCAGCAAGUCCAUAUUGGCGAAUUUAGGUGCCUCCGUUUAUCGAUGGUGAGAGGGCUGCAAAUGGGGGCUUUUUAUUCGAAGAAGAAGAGGCUGCAAAUGGCUACGACUUCUUCUUCCUUAUUGUCACUGGUACAUAUAUUGUUUGUAUAUUGUUGCACGGGUGCAUAAAGUCUUCCAAAUUCCAAUCAUACUAGCAACAGGGAACCUAGAUCCUAGCUAGUAAUCGGUCGCACGAAACGCGGGGAUGGUGGGGCUUCGUGAUAUGUUGCGUCUGUCUGACGGAAUAAAGCUCCCGGAUGAUAUGACCUGAUCAACAUGCGCCAGAAUUCUUUCUGAUUAGAUGUGAGAGAUCUCAUAUCACAUCAGCAGCGAAGGAUUAGGUCACCUGCAGCCGGCUUUCCACCAAUAAAUGCCUUGUUGUCAUCAUCGACCGGUGCACGAGUGCCGCCGUUAAUGACGCAAGCAGAAGAACAGUGGCCCUGCUUCUUUCAGACAGCUUCAGGUUUCUGUUGCCAUCUGUGUGGUCUGUUCUUUCCAUUUUCGAGAGAUUAAUUACUACCUGAAUUUACUGUUUUCUGAUGUCAAUACUCAAUACAUCUUUCACGGUUUCUCUCUGCAAUUUCAACUGCCGUGGCAAAAGUUCUGAGAUCAAGCUGGUCUCCUGCGUAGGAGCAGGACCAAAGGCUUUGGCAGACGACACUGGCAGAGAGAGCGAUGUGUCUAUGAUUCAGAUAGCAAAAUAACUAUUGAACGUCCACUUCAGCUGAGAGUGGACCUUCAGAUUAGGGGAAUUGAUUUUGUCACAUCAUAUCAUCAUUCAGUAAUGCGUUUGGUUGGGUGGAGAUGGUUGGGUGGGACAGGGAUAUCCAAUUUUUAAGUGGAUGCCCUGUGUUUGAUUGAAUGGA